GGAAGUAAAAGUCGUACCAAGGUUUCCGUAGGUGAACCUGCGGAAGGAUCAUUAUUGUAUAACCGAGGUGCGAGGGCUGUCGCUGACCCGAAAGGUCGUGCACGCCCGAGUGCCCUCACACACAUCCAUCUCACCCCUAUGUGCACCAUCGCGUGGGUCCCCCUUUGGCUUGUUCGGAGGGGGGCUUACGUUUUCACACAAACUUUGUAUGCAGUGUAGAAUGUAUUUUUUGUUUUUGCGAUCACGCAAUCAAUACAACUUUCAACAACGGAUCUCUUGGCUCUC
rnacentral:misc_RNA from 1 species